UACGUAGGGUGCGAGCGUUAAUCGGAAUUACUGGGCGUAAAGCGUGCGUAGGCGGUUCGUUAAGUUCGUUGUGAAAGCCCCGGGCUCAACCUGGGAAUGGCAAUGGAAACUGGCGGGCUGGAGUAUGGCAGAGGGGGGUGGAAUUCCGCGUGUAGCAGUGAAGUGCGUAGAGAUGCGGAGGAGCACCGAUGGCGAAGGCAGCCCCCUGGGCCAAUACUGACGCUCAGGCACGAAAGCGUGGGGAGCAAACAGG
rnacentral:rRNA from 1 species